GUCGUACGCUGGCGGCGUGCCUAAUACAUGCAAGUAGAACGCUGAAGGAGGAGCUUACUUCUCUGGAUGAGUUGCGAACGGGUGAGUAACGCGUAGGUAACCUGCCUGGGAGCGGGGGAUAACUAUUGGAAACGAUAGCUAAUACCGCAUAAGAGUAGAUGUUGCGUGACAUUUACUUAAAAGGUGCAAUUGCACCACUACCAGAUGGACCUGCGUUGUAUUAGCUAGUUGGUGGGGUAACGGCUUACCAAGGCGACGAUACAUAGCCGACCUGAGAGGGGGAUCGGCCACACUGGGAAUGGGACACGGCCCAGACUCCUACGGGAGGCAGCAGUAGGGAAUCUUCGGCAAUGGACGGAAGUCUGACCGAGCAACGCCGCGUGAGUGAAGAAGGUUUUCGGAUCGUAAAGCUCUGUUGUAAGAGAAGAACGAGUGUGAGAGUGGAAAGUUCACACUGUGACGGUAUCUUACCAGAAAGGGACGGCUAACUACGUGCCAGCCGCCGCCGUAA
rnacentral:rRNA from 1 species